CGAGCCUGCGAAAAGCUCCGGGGAGCUGGCAACGAAGCUUUGAUCCGGAGAUGUCCGAAUGGGGAAACCCACCCUUCGGGGUAUCCUGGCCUGAAUACAUAGGGCCAGAGAAGCGAACCGGGUGAACUGAAACAUCUCAGUAGCUCGAGGAAAAGAAAUCAACCGAGAUUCCCAAAGUAGUGGCGAGCGAAAUGGGACAAGCCUGCACGAUUUAGCAGAACGGUUAAGAGAACGGAUUGGAAACUCCGGCCAUAGAGGGUGAUAGCCCCGUAUUUGAAAACCGAUUUGUGGAACUAGGCGUGCGACAAGUAGGGCGGGACACGUGUAAUCCUGUCUGAAGAUGGGGGGACCAUCCUCCAAGGCUAAAUACUCGUGAUCGACCGAUAGUGAACCAGUACCGUGAGGGAAAGGCGAAAAGAACCCCGGGAGGGGAGUGAAAUAGAUCCUGAAACCGCAUGCAUACAAACAGUGGGAGCCUCGCAAGGGGUGACUGCGUACCUUUUGUAUAAUGGGGUCAGCGACUUACGUUCAGUUGCGAGCUUAACCGAAUAGGGGAGGC
rnacentral:rRNA from 1 species